GCCUGGGUGGCUCAGUCGGUUAAGCGUCCGACUUCAGCUCAGGUCAUGAUCUCACAGUUCGUGGGUUCGAGCCCCACGUCGGGCU
rnacentral:tRNA from 1 species